GGCAACAUGGCCGAGCGGUCUAUGGCGUGUGACUCAAGCUGAAGCUUCGGCUGCUGCUUGCCUGCGAAUGCGGGUUUCUCAUUCUCGAACGAGAGCGGGGGUUCGAAUCCCCCUGUUGUCA